rnacentral:lncRNA from 1 species
CGAUCAUCAGGUCGUCGUUUCGGUUUAGCUCACCCUGGAGCAGUCGGUGGAGGUGCUGAUGGUGUAGGGGAUGCUGACGCCGCACUUGGAGGGGAUGCUGGCGGCCUUGCCGACGUUGAGGCCGCGGAUGCCACGGGCGGCGUUCUUGAGGCAGUUGCAGGCGGCGCGCCUGUCGGCGGUGGUGCGGGCGGCGGAGUUGAGGCUCCUGACGCCGCUGCAGCAGCCUGCGGAGGGUCCAGAGCCCUGGCCGCGGGCGUAGGACAGGCAGGGCCCGAUGGCGGAGCUCACCUGACCGCAUGUCACGGCGGCCUCCGAGGUCGUCGCCGCCAGCACCACCGCCGCCACGACGGCGAUCGCCACAGCAAGCUUCAUGCUGCGAGCCAUGUCGAUCUCGAUCGACCUCCUGUGAUAUAUGUGCUGAUGCUCGUAGGUGACUGAUAGCUUUUGGGAUGCAGUGAGUGAGCAAGUGCUAGCUGGUGAGGAGAUUGCAAUGGAAUGUUGCUCCUUAAAUAGGCAGGCUUUGUGAUCGAUGUGUGAGCUAGCUAGCGAUUGCUGAUGAGUGAUGUGCAUGCAUGGGAUGGGUGUGCAUGCUGUUUCAGUCGGUGGAUGCAUGCAUAUGCGUAUAUGUCCAUGGAUCGAUGGUAUCUCUCGCCAUGCAUCGAAGUUAACUGCUGGGGAGGAGGUGGUUGGGUGUUGAGGGAGGAGGGCAGAUGCUUGUUUAGUUGUUGUAAUACCCGAUUUUAAGGACAAAACCAGAUAUGCACCAUAUGUGAGUUUUAAAAGCCAAAUCUCACAUAUAGCUACAAAUAAGGGGUAAUAUCAAAAGACAAUGCAAAAAUUAUAUAACGUACAUAAUAUAAAAGAGAUAACCUUUGAUAGCAAACAACGGAUAGACAACUCCAAACUCCGGGUAUUAACUUCUCUCUACAGGAUCCAACUGACUGGUUGAUCACAAGCCUAAACUUCUCCUGAGGUUUGGGGGAAAUAGCAAGAGUGAGUCCAUGUCAAACUCCACAAGUAUAGCAACUAGAUUGUAUAGCUCCCACAAUCUCAUGAUCAAUGUGACAUAAAUAAUGUAAAGCAUUAAACAAUAAGCAAUGAGCAUAUUUAACACACAAGAUUCAUCACCCUUAAUGUAGAUGUCCCCAAGGCCGUUCCUGACCGUGAGCUCGGCUAGUAUACUAGUUUUAACACUCUGCAGAGGUUGCACAUCUUUACCCAUGAGUCAUGAUUUACCCUUUCGCCCGAGGUGAUCAGCCUCUUAACCCACUUCCAAGGAAGGUCGGCAGGGAUCACUAUGAAGCCUUUCAAAAGUUCGUCUAACAUGUUAGGGCCGCAAGGUUUCCUUUGCGAGCAGAUAUAGAUACCCCCCUUCCGAAUGGCACAAUGACGCGCAGCCUAUACACAUAGGGACAGGGGCUCGCACUAUACCCGUGUCGGUUCAGCCCCUCCGCCCUUUCGGGUAACCUCUAACAAGCUAGAAAAGGUCUUCAUACUGAGCUAAAGCCAGAGCCAUUAUAGCCCUCAUGGUUGCACUGUUAUCCCGGGUGAUCACGUACAGACAAAUCAUCAAGUUGUUAAAAAGUCAUUUUUACCAUUUAUUACUUAACAUUAAUCUAGUCACAGGAUCAUGGUCACAGAAAUAAAAUCCAAAUGCUAUACUUGCCUCAAUCCAAUUGCUCUUGCUUAUCCUUUUGGUCCUGCUGGUCUCACUUGUUGCCAAAGCUUUGAUCUUGAUCACCGAAACUGCUCUCCGUCUAAACUCGAUCAUCGAUCAUCAACACACAAACAAUCGGACACAACAUACACGUAGCAAACAAGGCUAUAAUUAGAACAGUACACCAAUCAUAUAAAAACAAUAUGAAAAAUUUGUAAAAUAAUUCUACGCAUCGCUACGAUCUCACAGACGUAAAGAUGACGAAAAUCGGAGUUAAAACGGAAAAGAUAUGGAUUUUCUAAGAUUUUAUAUAGAAAAGUAAUUAAUUAAUUAAGGUCACGAAAUUAAAAGGUUUCAAACUGAGUGAACAAUAUUACUAACAUGUAGUGCUCGUGAUUACGAACCUAACACAAUUUCAAUGGACAAAACGGAGUUAAAACAGAGAUGAUAUGGCCUAAAUAAACUAGCGUAUUUUCUUUGUAUUUUUAGGUUUGUUUUUCUAAAGGAAAACGGCAAUAAAACAUGUCUAUGUUAUAACGACGUCAUCAAGCUAGCCAGCAACGUUUAUUCGCAGAUAUAUGUUAGACAUGUACAUCCCUAGAUCGAUUGCUGCGCAGAUAGAAACAUCGCCGGGCGAAACAAAUCAGUGCAUGCACUUGUAGAGGCUUUGUGAAAUUUCUCACACAGGAAUCGACAUAUUAAAGAUGCAAAGUUACCUCUUAUGGUGAUUAUAAGAUUCAAUAGGACAUGCUUGCCGAACGAUGGGUCAGUGGCCACGUCGUCAAGAACAGGUUGAUCUACGGCAACACCUUCUACUCCCGUGCUCUGUUGCUUGCUACUCUUCACGUGGCCAGCGAUUUGGUCUUCUGCUUCUUUGGUCCACAAUCACGAUGGUUCACCGGAACAUGGCAAGCAGCUCUGGCAAGCAGGACGUGGCAAGAGCAGAGCGGCGGCCGUAACAUGGCAAGGGCAGCAUCUAUCUAGGCAUGGCCGACGGCGGCGGCUCUCAAGGGUUUUAAGGACGUAAACACUCUAGACGAAUAUGACGUGUAUAUAUACGUGCGGUCUAGAUCAAGUUUGAUUAGGGUUAGAACUUAUUAUUUUUGGAAUUAAUUAUUUUCAUGGAUAAAAUAAUUAUAGAAAAGUCCAGAAUUAUUAUUUAAACUAUGAAAAAUAUUCUAAAAGCUCUGAAAAUUCGGAGAAAAUUCUCAGAGACAUUAUGGAAUAUGAGGAACUCAAAUAACGUAUUUGGACCUCAUGAUAAGAUAAUUUGGAGCAUCUAAAAAUUAGAUUUAUGCUCAUAGAAAAGUGAGAAUAGAAGAUGGAAAAAUUCCCGAAAAGUUUGUAGAGAUUGCUUGAUGGACGAGGAACUAAAAGAAGUGCUUUGAGUGACAAAGAAAAGAUUUUAGGAAGCUCCUAAUAAAAAAUUGAGCUGAGAAACCAAAGAAUUUGGUUAUAGAUAAAGAUAAAGACGUACUGGUCAAGGAAGAUCUACUAAACGCAUUUUAAAACUUUGCUCACUCAACACAUAAAGGAGCAACAAGUCAACAUCACAUCAAAACAUAUGCACCAGCAUGUAUGCACAACAAUAUUGCUAAGGCUUAUGAUAAAUUUUAAUUUAAUGAAAAUUAUUAUUUUCCUUAUAUUUUCGUGAGCACAAAAUACAAAACUGAAUAAAUUUUCAUCUAUUUUGAAAAGAGCAAAAUUUAGGGUGUUACAGUUGUCAAAAUUUUUUAAAAUUCUCAAUCAAAUUAAAUCUUGGGACACAAUGUAUCAAAUAUUAAAUAUAGAUAAAAAUUAAUUAAUUAUAUAGUUUGUAUAUAAUUUGCGAGAUAAAUUUUGUAAACCUAGUUAAUCUAUAAUUAAACAAAAAUUAUUAAAUAUAAACGGUGCUAUAGUAACUAGAUCCAAAAAUUUUCACCAACUAAGGGCUUGUACAACGAUGGGCGCUUAUGAUCAGGUAUUGGCCGUUAAAUAGUUUUUUUGCCACACGGUGGAGUCCUGAGCGGGCGCUUAAAAAUAGAUUUGCCGCUCCGUAAAGCAUCGACGCCUAGACCGGCUCCUUGCUUGAUACUGGUGUUUGCAUGCGACGUAACGGUCACAACUUAAGCGCCUUCAAAUACGUGUUGUGUUGUAGAUUAAGGUUAUAAAGAGACGCUUAGUUACAAAAGUAUUUUCUCUUUCCAUCUAAGCGCCUUUUGCAUUGUACGUGCUCUAAACAAGGCCACAGAUACAGACAUACAGUGGUUAGCUGAGGCAGAGUGAAAUCAUUAGCAGCAAACAUAUAAUAAAUAGCAGCCGCCUAGCACGACUUAGCGCCACUUAAGUUUUGUUUAGUUACGCUCGAAAUCCAAAAACUUUUCAAGGUUCUCUUCACGUCGAAUUUAGAGACACAUACAUGUAGCACGACUUAGCGCCACUUAAGUUUUGUUUAGUUACACUCGAAAUCCAAAAACUUUUCAAAGUUCCCUUCACGUCGAAUUUAGAGACACAUACAUGAAGCAUUAAAUAUAAAUAAAAAAAUAACUAAUUACAUAAUUUAUCUGUAAUUUGAGAGACGAAGCUUUUGAGUCUAGUUAGUCUAUAGUUGAACAAUAAUUAUCAAAUAUAAAAAAAAAUGUUAUAGUACCAAAAAAAUCUUUUCACUCACGAACUAAAUAAAGGCCCUAAUCUCAUCAUCCGCCUCACUGUUUAAUCGAAUGUCCUUGAUGGCCACCCACAGGCUCACAAAACCUGAGACGGUGAGACCUUGCCUGGGGUAGUAUAUGGGGCCAAUGGCCAAUCCAUUUAUCAGUUUGCCCAAGGCAGGUGGUGGGCCACUCUGUUCAAUUUUGAGUCUAAUAUAUGCAAUAUCUUCUCUUUUGUGCAAUUUUUGUCCGUGGGUUCAAACAAUCCUGCCACCGUGUCACCGGUGGCUGAUCGUGUCAACCCUUCGCCGCAGUCCGCUCCACCACAGUACGGGGGGCCCAGUUGCAGUCUCUGCCACCGCAGUAGGGAUGUUGAACUUGUAAUAAUAAAUAUGUGAGUGCUUUUAAUAUAUAAUGCAUGUUGGUGAUAUAGAUGUGAUAAUUGGCGUGUGUGUAUAUAUAUUGUCUGUUACAAUGGAAUGUAAAAAAUAAAACAAAUACAAUUCUCGGGGUCUUCGCCGAGUGCGGUGCCAGGGUCACUUGGCAAAGCAAUUUAAAAAAACAAUUUUGCCGAGUGUCGGGGCCACGACCACUCGGCAAAGAAUUUUUCUUUAAAAAAGAAAAGACACUUUGCCGAGUGCUGAUGCUAGGGGCACUAGGCAAAGUAUUUUUAAAAAAAACAAAUAUGCGGAGUGCCGCGGCAAGGGACACUCAGCAAAUAUUUUUUUUUUAAAAAAAAAGAAAGAAAAUCUUUGUCGAGUGCCUGAGGCCAGAGGCACUUGGCAAAGCAAUUUUUUUUAAAAAAACUUUGCCGAGUGUUAAGGGGCCAGGGGCACACGGUAAAAUAUUUUUUAAAAAACAAAAACUUUGUCGAGUGUCGUGUCGGGCAACUCGGCAAAAUAACUGUUAACGGCAGAUGCUGUGACGGCCAAAAAUGUUGCCGAGUGCUGUCGUAAGCACUCAGUAAAAUGUUUUUAAUAUUUUGCUAAGUGCCUCGGUAAAAAGCACUCAGCAAAGUCUCUUUGUCGAAAAUUUUUUUGCCGAGCGAACUUUGCUGAGUGCUACGUUCGGCAAAGCCUUUGCCGAGUGCAAAGGGCUCUUUGUCGAAUGUAAAAACACUCGGCAAAGUCCUAAUUUCCAGUGGUGGGUGUGCUGGGACAAUUUAGAAAGCAAGCAACGAUUUCAUUUUGCGUUAGAUCACUCCCAUCCUCGAAGCCUCAGUUUUUUUUUUCAGAAAUAAGUUCCAGCUGUUGCUGCUGAGAACUAAAAGAAGCUUUUCACCCUUGAUUGAUCAAUGGAUUGGCUCUCUAGUUUAACAGGCUUCUUUGUUGUACUCUUUUUGCUCUUUUUUCCUUAGUUUUUUUGUUCCUUAGUUAAGACUCCACCCUACUGCCUCCUUAACUGUUGUGCUUUUUUUUUUGUAAAAGACCUUUUUUAUUAUAAUUUUUGCAUUGUUGUAGGGGUGCAAACCCCUCCAAUCUCCUUCAAAAAAUUCAAAAGUAAUAUAACCUUGCAGAACAAAGGACGGUAAUCCCACCAUUUUGCUAUGUGAGCCCACUCCUCUUAUUUUUUUUACUUUUAUUUUGAUUAUGCCCACUCCUGUUAAGCAGUCAUUUGUUCCAUUCCCUAAAUAUAUUUCUAUUUUUUAGAAUAUUCAAUAAGGCGUAUAUACAUUAUAUUUUAAGAAAUAAACUAUAUUCAAGACAAAUCUACCCACAUCAAUAUUACUUGUAUACAUUCAAAUAAACAUGUAGACAUAAUAAUUCGAUAGUUAAGGUUUCAAAAUGAUUGAAAUAAGACAACUUGAAAUAUGUCACAAUAAAAAAUUAUUUGUGGUCAAAGUUUCUGAAAUUAUUGACUUACGACAACGUACAUCCAAGUGUCACUUAAUUGCUUUGUGAGCAGAGGGAGUAUAUAUUUUGGCAAGUUACCCUCCAUCUAAAAAUAUAAAACACAUGUUUUUAGGACAGUAAGAUUUGACCAAUAGGUGCUUGUGCCAUUAAUAUGCAUAAAUCAUAGAUACUUUUGAAUACAAAUAUCUAGUUACAUCAAUUUGCUACCACAAAAUUGCAAGUAUCUUGGUUAAAGCCAUGUCUAACAAAACAUGAGCUUUGGGAUGGAUAUAUAUCAUAUUGGUGUGUACGUUUAGUAGUCUCUCUUCGUUUCAAUUUAUUAGAUGUUGUUUUGGCUUUUGUAGAUACAAAAAUUUUUUUAUGUAUCUAGAUAACGUUUAUUAUGAUAUAGAUAUAUCGUAUAUCUAUAUGCCUAAAAAACUGAAUAUCUAGAAAAACUAAAAUAACCUAUAAUUUAGGAUAGAGGGUGGUAAUAAUUAUACAUCUUCUGCUACCAAGUCCCUUAAUUACAGCACACAGCUCUGUUUUCUAGUUGCCUUGAUCGUUCAUCAGAUGAAUUAUGUAUUUGAAGAGUAGCGCGUGUGUGGUCAUGUCAUGAAAACGUGCUAGCUAGGUACUUGUUUUAAUUUCCACCGUGUGAGUAUUUUUUUUUUUCAAGUGGCGAGAGUUCAUUAAUUAAAUAAAACCAUUCAAUUUUUCAAAUCACAAUACGUUGUCUGCAAAUCCUCUGAGUCAGCCAGUUUUUCGUUACGUGCUAUACUCCGUCCAUUCUAAAUUAUGUUUUUUAAACUUUUUGGUAUAUUCAUUUUGCUACAUACUAAAAAAAUUAAAAAUAACUUAUAAUUUAGAACAGAAGAGGUAUAUAUAUAGUUGCAUAUAUGCUGACAAGUGUUUGGGGGAGAAUAGAGCAGUAACUCUCUUGACCAAGCGUUUGGGAGUCAUGGAACACAGUCACAUGGCGCAUGCAUGCGUAACAACAAUUUGGAAACAAAGAGAUGUGUGUGUGCAUGUAGCAGUGAUCGAACUAGUACAAACCACAGGAGCGAGAGGAAACGUACACGGACAUAAAUAAUAAACACCGCACAUAGUGCAUGCACUCAAAAAUAAACCCAACAAGCAAAAGUACAUCUCUCACACACACAUGUACACACGCACGUACGUACAUACGCUAAGAUGCAAGCGUAUCACAGCGUACACGACGACACGUACGUACAUACGGAGAGAUUUUUAUUCAGUAGUACGACGUAGCAGUAGUAGACAACUCAUCAUCUCAUCAUAUCAGGCGUAGAUAGAUACUCAUCCAUGGUCGAUGCUCCGGCGCCGAUCGACGACGACGGCGGCGGCGGCGGAAUGGAUCAUCGAUCGAUCGAUCAUCGUUUAGGUUUAGUUCACCCUGCAUGAUCAUGCAUGCAUGGAAGACGAAGCACAAGUUAAUUAAACGACUUGAUAUUCAAGUUGAAUCAGACCAUGCAUGCAUGCAAAGUUGCAAACAACUUGUAGUGAUUGGAUCAUUCAUUCAGAUCAUCACUUAAUUACCUGGAGCAGUCGGUGGAGGUGCUGAUGGUGUAGGGGACGCUGACGCCGCACUUGGAGGGGAUGCUGGCGGCGUUGCCGGCGUUGAGGCCGCUGAUGCCACGGGCGGCGUUCUUGAGGCAGUUGCAGGCGGCGCGCCUGUCGGCGGUGGUGCGGGCGGCGGAGUUGAGGCUCCUGACGCCGCUGCAGCAGCCUGCUGAGGGUGCGGAGCCCUGGCCCCGGGCGUAGGACAGGCAGGGCGCGAUGGCCGAGCUCACCUGCCCGCAG